UCCCUAAACGUGAGAAUGAAUAUCUAAAACAUACGUCACCACGACCUGUGUACAGACCUGCUGAUGACGACAAUGACAUAGAAGACUAUAGCUAUAUGACCGAAAAGAUUAAAAGUGGCGUGAUACAUAUUAAAGAUCUAUAUGGUAA